rnacentral:rRNA from 1 species
AUGACGCAUGUAAUGAUCCAUGUUUUAUCACGGCGAUCAGAUCGGUUGGCUCCAAUUGUUUCCUAUCGGGACACCCAAAGAAUCGAUUUAGAAAGCUCGCCGGUGCCGAUCUAUGUAAAAAUCGCAAAAGCAAUACGAUCGAUCAACCGGAGAUGGACGCCGACGUGGAGAGGCAGCAGGCAGUCGCGCCUCAAGGAGACCGGUGGAUCGACAAGAUCAGGUGCCCCGGCAUUCCCGCAUUACUACGUCGGAAUCGGCUCCGUCUCCGGCGUCCCGGCCGCGGCGGCGGUUGUCGACCCGGCCUUUAACCUCACGCUCGGCGUCGCCUCGUGGAACUACAUCGGGGGAGCGUGCGUCCAUCGCGACAUGUCUGUGGAGGUGGCCUACCGUGGCAUCCCGCUAGCUGACGCCAGGGCCUCGCGGUUCUGCGUUGGCGCACGGAAGGUGGCGGAGCAGCCCGUCGCCGCAAGGCGGGAGGAGGUGCGUGUGCCGGCAGACGUGAUGGAGGCCCUCGCGGCGGACACGAGGCGAGGGGAGCAGGUGUUCGACGUCAUGCUACAGGCCCCGUGGAGCUUCGCCGGGAAGAAGCUGCUGUACCGGUGCGGCGUCGGGGUCGGGCCCAGCGGCGCCGCCUGGUGCAGUGAACUUCACAUGGUGUAG